rnacentral:rRNA from 1 species
GUGCCAGCCGCCGCGGUAAUACGUAGGUGGCGAGCGUUGUCCGGAAUUAUUGGGCGUAAAGAGCAUGUAGGCGGCUUUUUAAGUCGGUCGUGAAAAUGCGGGGCUUAACCCCGUAUUGCGGUCGAAACUGGAGGGCUUGAGUGCAGGAGAGGAAAGGGGAAUUCCCAGUGUAGCGGUGAAAUGCGUAGAUAUUGGGAGGAACACCAGUGGCGAAGGCGCCUUUCUGGACUGUGUCUGACGCUGAGAUGCGAAAGCCAGGGUAGCAAACGGGAUUAGAUACCCCGGUAGUCCUGGCCGUAAACGAUGGGUACUAGGUGUGGGAGGUAUCGACCCCUUCCGUGCCGGAGUUAACGCAAUAAGUACCCCGCCUGGGGAGUACGGCCGCAAGGUUGAAACUCAAAUGAAUUGACGG